rnacentral:lncRNA from 1 species
GCUGAACUGUCAACUUGGCUGGAGUGAGGCCUGCGCAUGUGCGAAGUGGAGCAGGCUUCUGGUAGUCUGCGCCCGCCCGUCACACAGACAGAUAGGGCCGUGGGGGCUGUAUCUGGCCCCGCCCUUUCCCCUCUGGCACUGUUCUUCUCUGCUUCCCAGCUGCCCUGAAAGAGCAACUUUGUUCUAACAUCGCGAUGUUGCGAUGUUUUGGCCUUGGAGCCUGCGGACCACUUUGCUGGUUUUGUCCAGCAAUAGAAGAGCUGACCAGUACAAGUGGUUAAGAGUUUUCCUACCUCAGACCUUCCCUUAGUAUUCAUGAAAAGCGAAAAACUUUCCAAGAAUGAGAAAGUCCUGAUGAACAUUUGAUCGGAAGUUCUAGUCAGCUAUCCUGUGCAUGGCUCACUGAACCACCAGACCGUUUGCCAAUACCCUCUGAUGCAGUGGUGUAUCUGAGCAUAGACUCAAAGGUGGAGGAGCACAAGAGAGCUGUCCGCGUGCCAGAGACCUGAGGAAUUCGGGUGAGGUCCUAGAGCCAGGGCAGCGCCCCAGCCAGGCCGCACCACGAGGCCGACGAGGCCGUGCAGGAAGCGAAGAAUCCACGCAGAGAACCUGGAGACGACGCUCAAGGUGAAGCGACCAGAGCUCCCAGCCCGCGCGUGCCAAAGGCCUGCAGACAAGCUCGAGGCACGGCAAAGCCCACAGCUGCUCCCAAGAGGACAUCGGCCAUCCUCGGGGCAGGCGAAGCUCAGCCCGGAGGACACAGAAGCUUCUCCGAGGAAAACCAGCGGCACUAAGCGCUCCCAGGAGAGUGGCUCCUCAGAAGGCCUGAAUUUGAGCCCCAGAAGACAGCUGGAGACCCAUACACCAGGCAAGGACUCUUCUUCCCACCAACGCUCAGCUUUGUUUUUCUUUCUCACUAACUUUCACAAGUUCAAUCCCCGGCAUGGGUCUACACCGGCUGCCCGGCUGCCUCCUACACCCCAGGAACACAGAGAAUAACCGUGUCGGGCUCCCCUUCUCUAGUGCCCUGUGCUCAGGGAAGUAGCAUCUUGGUUUACAAACGUGGGGCCAGAUCCUGCCGAAAAGGGAAGGGACGGCACAGGGAGUCGCUGGAGGUGAGCACACAGCCCAGAGAGGCCCACUGCCUUGCGCACGCUCCACUGGAGCCCCGCGCGCCAGACACGGCCAGGGCGCCUUCCGCCUAGUGUUACAUAAUGACCAAACUCCCGGGCCCCAAUACCUUCUCUGAAAAAAUAUUAAACAUUGGAUAAAUAUCGCUUACCCCAAAACUAAUGCCUCCAUCAGCAGAUGUUCUGUACUAUGUUGUUUCAUUUCCUCCAUUUUUUUGGUCAUUAUUGUCCUGUUUAUUGAUGUCUGCUUGUUAAUUGUUACUUUCUGCAACCUACCCAAAGAACAUAAACUUCACCAAAGACCUCUCCUGCUCUGUCCAGUUUUAUUCCAGUGCAGAAGAGUUACUGGCAUGUAGACACUGUUCAGAAAAUGCUAGUUAAAUCAAAGAAUUUGAAGACAUCUCAUAUUUAAAGUGCACUUUAAGAAAUAUGUGAAUGAUAAAAGGUAGUUAGAAAUAUUAGGAUGGCUACUUUCAACAUUUGAAAGAGCUGCAGAUCAUCCCCUAAGUACUUUAUAAAAUCUGGUGAGUCACAACUACUGUGCAUGAUUUAAUUUAUUCAAUAUUUUAAAUAUUUUUAAUCCUUUAUUUAUUUAUUUUUUUUGGUUUUUCUCCGGUACCGGGAACCGAACUCACGACC